UUCUGAGUCUACUCUGAUUUGAACAUGUACACUUAUGCUCCUCCCUUAUCUACUGUAGGUUGCCUAAAUUUCCUUGCCAGUUUUUUGAAUGUUACAUCAUCUAAUCGUUUAGCAGUGCAGUCAUCAUUAACUGAGAAGCAACUGAUGGUGAGGCUAGACCUGUAGGAAGAGGAACGGCUACACGUAAUAGAGAAGCAACUGAUGGUGAUACUAGAGCUGUAAGAAGAGGAACAGCUACACGAGAAGCAACUGAUGGUGAUACUAGAGCUGUAAGAAGAGAAACAGCUACACGUAAUAGUAAGUUCUUUUAUGCUAGCAGUGAGUAAGUGUAUGUCUUA